GACGAACGCUGGCGGCGUGCUUAACACAUGCAAGUCGAACGGAAAGACCCUGCUUUUGUGGGGUGCUCGAGUGGCGAACGGGUGAGUAACACGUGAGUAACCUGCCCUUGACUUUGGGAUAACUUCAGGAAACUGGGGCUAAUACCGGAUAGGAGCUCCUGCUGCAUGGUGGGGGUUGGAAAGUUUCGGCGGUUGGGGAUGGACUCGCGGCUUAUCGGCUUGUUGGUGGGGUAGUGGCUUACCAAGGCUUUGACGGGUAGCCGGCCUGAGAGGGUGACCGGCCACAUGGGAACGGAGAUACGGCCCAGACGCUAACGGGAGGCAGCGGUGGGAAAUAUGGAACAAGGGGCGAAGGCCGAAGGCAGCAACGCCGCGUGCGGGAGGACGGCUUUCGGGUGGAAAACCGCUUUCGCCUGUAACGAAGCGUGAGGGAGGGUAAUGGGUAAAGAAGCACCGGCUAACUACGG
rnacentral:rRNA from 1 species